UACGUAGGGGGCGAGCGUUGUCCGGAUUUAUUGGGCGUAAAGAGCUCGUAGGCGGCUCGGUAAGUCGGAUGUGAAACCUCCAGGCUCAACCUGGAGACGCCAUCUGAUACUGCCGUGGCUUGAGUCCGGUAGAGGAGCAGGGAAUUCCUGGUGUAGCGGUGAAAUGCGCAGAUAUCAGGAGGAACACCUAUGGCGAAGGCAGCUCGCUGGGACGGUACUGACGCUGAGGCGCGAAAGCGUGGGGAGCGAACAGG
rnacentral:rRNA from 1 species